rnacentral:rRNA from 1 species
GGAGCUAACGCGUUAAGUCGACCGCCUGGGGAGUACGGCCGCAAGGUUAAAACUCAAAUGAAUUGACGGGGGCCCGCACAAGCGGUGGAGCAUGUGGUUUAAUUCGAUGCAACGCGAAGAACCUUACCUGGUCUUGACAUCCACAGAACUUUCCAGAGAUGGAUUGGUGCCUUCGGGAACUGUGAGACAGGUGCUGCAUGGCUGUCGUCAGCUCGUGUUGUGAAAUGUUGGGUUAAGUCCCGCAACGAGCGCAACCCUUAUCCUUUGUUGCCAGCGGUCCGGCCGGGAACUCAAAGGAGACUGCCAGUGAUAAACUGGAGGAAGGUGGGGAUGACGUCAAGUCAUCAUGGCCCUUACGACCAGGGCUACACACGUGCUACAAUGGCGCAUACAAAGAGAAGCGACCUCGCGAGAGCAAGCGGACCUCAUAAAGUGCGUCGUAGUCCGGAUUGGAGUCUGCAACUCGACUCCAUGAAGUCGGAAUCGCUAGUAAUCGUGGAUCAGAAUGCCACGGUGAAUACGUUCCCGGGCCUUGUACACACCGCCCGUCACACCAUGGGAGUGGGUUGCAAAAGAAGUAGGUAGCUUAACCUUCGGGAGGGCGCUUACCACUUUGUGAUUCAUGACUGGGGUGAAGUCGUAACAAGGUAACCGUAGGGGAACCUGCGGUUGGA